GCAGACACAUUCCAGCCAAUCAGCAGCAGACCCUCCCUCCCAAACCCUCCCACCUCCUGGACAGCAUCCAUUUUACAUUCAUUGUGAGUUGUCCAGGAGGUGGGAGGGUCUGGGAGGGAGGGUCUGCUGCUGAUUGGCUGGAAUGUGUCUG